UUGGGUGUGUCGGGCCUUGGCUGGAAGCCUCGGGACCCAGCUGGGACUGCUUGUGGGCAACCUAUUUGUGGACUUGGCCAGGACCUGGCGGUGGAUGGCCUUGGCAGCUCUCACGGGCGUCCGAUGCACAAUUAACAACUAAUUUAGAACUGGUACGG
rnacentral:rRNA from 1 species